rnacentral:rRNA from 1 species
UACGUAGGGUGCGAGCGUUGUCCGGAUUUAUUGGGCGUAAAGGGCUCGUAGGCGGCGUGUCGCGUCGGGUGUGAAAGACCGGGGCUUAACCCCGGUUCUGCUUCCGGUACGGGCAUGCUGGAGUGUGGCAGGGGAGACUGGAAUUCCUGGUGUAGCGGUGGAAUGCGCAGAUAUCGGGAGGAACACCGGUGGCGAAGGCGGUUCUCUGGGCCUGUACUGACGCUGAGGAGCGAAAGCGUGGGGAGCAAACAGG